UACGGAGGGUGCAAGCGUUGUCCGGAUUUAUUGGGUUUAAAGGGUGCGUAGGCGGCCCGUUAAGUCAGUGGUGAAAGCCUCCAGCUCAACUGGAGAACUGCCAUUGAUACUGACGGGCUUGAGUACAGACGAGGUAGGCGGAAUUGAUUGUGUAGCGGUGAAAUGCAUAGAUACAAUCAAGAACUCCGAUUGCGUAGGCAGCUUACUAGGCUGUAACUGACGCUGAGGCACGAAAGCGUGGGGAGCGAACAGG
rnacentral:rRNA from 1 species